rnacentral:rRNA from 1 species
GUGCCAGCCGCCGCGGUAAUACAGAGGGUGCAAGCGUUGUUCGGAAUUAUUGGGCGUAAAGCGCGUGUAGGCGGUUUUGCAAGUCGGGUGUGAAAGCCCUCAGCUCAACUGAGGAAGUGCGCCCGAAACUGCAGAUCUUGAGUACCGGAGAGGGUGGCGGAAUUCCCCAAGUAGAGGUGAAAUUCGUAGAUAUGGGGAGGAACACCGGUGGCGAAGGCGGCCACCUGGACGGAUACUGACGCUGAGACGCGAAAGCGUGGGUAGCAAACAGGAUUAGAUACCCUCGUAGUCC